GACGAUUUAAUGGACCGUUCGCAGACCGUUUGCUCUGUUACAGCAAACCGAUCAUCGUCCGUUUCUUUCGCCUUGAGAAUCCUCUCAAAUGCUUCCGGAAGCCGCUGGAUAAAUAACGUCUCGUAAAAACGGAGAACCUCUACCGUGGUCCAUGGCGUCGAUCCGCUUACAUUUUACAUUGAUGCAGCAAAAACCAGAUACUUUGAUUAUUCGUUCAACCAGCAACAACGUACACAUUUAGGACGCUGCUCUUUCUAACAUUCAUAGCGAUUACACGCUCUAUUUUCACGUCUAUCGACAUUGUUUCGUGUGGAAAAACUGAGAAGGGAAGCUCGAAGAAUCGUUUAGAACCGUGACAGGCUCGUUCGAUAUUUUCUUUCCUCUUGAGCAACGUGACUAGAAUUACUUGGAUAGAGUAGUAUGUAUAAGAGACUACUUAAUCCAUCAACGAAGAAAAUGCUUCACCGAUGUAGUUAAUGAAUCACUCGAGCGGACGCACGUCGGUUAAACAUCGCAGAUCUGCAUGGAAGACAAUUAAGAGUCGUUAAAAUAAUUCCGGUUAAUUAAAUGUUUCCAGUUGACGGACAGACGUCGCGAUGGAAAGUCGGUUUUGUUCGCGACUUUCAUCUAAUUAAUCCGACUGUCCCUGUUUCUCGGUGAUAUAUCGCAGUGUGGGUGGAAAUACGGAAAUAAAUGGCUCGCGUAUGUUUAAUAAUGGAUCUGAAGCUGCUCUAGCUUGAAACGGUAACGGUGAACGGAAUCGAAAAUAAGCGUCCCUGGGUGAGAGAAAAAAAAUGUAAAGAUGUGGCAGGUAAUUGGACGCCGGUAAUUAACGGAUGAUAAUCACGAUAAUGAUUACGGCGAUGACGACGAUAAUAGUGGUAUCGUUGUAUUAUGCUCGUAGCAGAUACGCCAGUACCUGCUGCUACUAGCAACGGAAGAAGAAAAGAGAAUAAGACGACGUGCAUGAACAGGAAGAAGAGGAAGAGGAAAAAGAAAUGUACCACGUUGGAUCAAUGAGAGGCGCUUUCACGAUAAUAAAUAUCUCACCAUUUAUCACGUCAACUGAUUACGCCCGGAAAAACGUUACCGAUUACCAUUUUCAAUCAUCCUCGGACAGAUCGAUUUACGAUUUCAGUCAUUUUAGCCGGUCGAUCAUUCAUCGUGUUAACGGCAAGGGACAUGAAGUGAGACGUGCCAUUCGAAUGGCACAGCCGCG